UAAUGAACUAAAACGUAAUCUUAAAGAUAGCUGGUUUAAAGCUUACUAUUAUAUUUCUAUAAAAUAAAUUAUAGGUUAUUAACUUCAAAGCUUAUCCCUUAAAGAAUAAAUAAUUUAUUAUUUUUUAUUUUGAUUUUAUAAAUAUUUUAGGUUUUUUAUUAAGAUUAUUAAUUUAAUUUUAAAAUUUUUGUAAUAAUGAUAGAAUUAGUAUAUUUAUUUGUAUGAAAUUUUUACCUUGUGAACUUAUUAUAAGGAACUAGGCAAAAUUGAUUUCCGCCUGUUUAUCAAAAACAUGUCGUCUUGUUUAUAUUUUGAGGUCUGGCCUGCUCACUGAGCGUAUUUUUAAAGAGCCGCGGUAUUUUGACCGUGCAAAGGUAGGAUAAUCAUUAGUCUCUUAAUUAGUGGCUGGAAUGAAUGGCUUGACGAGAAAUCAACUGUCUCUUAAUAAAUUUUUGAAUUUAACUUUUGAGUCAAAAGGCUUAAAUUCUUCUUUAGGACGAGAAGACCCUAUAGAGCUUGACAUUUUACUUUUAUAUAGUUUUUUGUUUGUCUUUCUAUAUUUAAUGAUGAUGUUUUGUUGGGGUGACAUGAAGAAUAGAUAAACUCUUCAUUAUUAUAUCAUUUAUUUAUGUUUGUUAUUUUGAUCCAUAAUUUAUGAUCAUAAGAUUAAGUUACCUUAGGGAUAACAGCGUAAUUGUUUUUGAGAGCUCAUAUCGACAAAGCAGAUUGCGACCUCGAUGUUGGAUUAAGAAAAAUUUUGGGUGCAGGAGCCCAAUGAUUAGGUCUGUUCGACCUUUAAAUUCUUACAUGAUCUGAGUUCAGACCGGCGUGAGCCAGGUCGGUUUCUAUCCUAAGAUUGUUAAUCCAUAUUAGUACGAAAGGACCAUAUGGUUAAUAUAUUUUUAGUUAUAUUGAUUAAUAUUAAUUUAUUUA